ensembl:lncRNA
AUCUGCCCAUUGCCAAGAGGAGGAGCUGCUCGCAGGAAAGGCAGGAGCUCAUUGCCCCAUUGCUGUGUUUAUUGAAGUUCAGCUUAAAUGCCUGUGUUAACUUUAAAUGUGCAUCUAUGGUACAGAUGAGCUAACAGAGGACAGCUGUUUGCUAAUCACUGUUAGCCUGUAAGGUGAAUGAGGGUUGUAAGGAUGCUGUGCAGGUGCAGAUCCAUCCUUGGUUCCAGGGCUCUUUUAAAGGCCUCUGGCUCUCUACCAGAAACAAAGUGUGAGUGCCUAUUGAAACAGUCCCUUGCAGUCAGGCAGAAUUUCUUCUCUGUGGGAGCAGCUGCUUUUGCUCAACUUAGGACUGCAAACAGGGAGAAGGAAACUUGAGGAAAUACCUGCUGGGGAACAAAGCCUGCUGUCUUUGC